ACCCAAAAGAGACACAGGGAGGUAGUGACAAGAAAUAACAAUACAGGGCGAAUGUCUUGUAAUUGGAAUGAUGGUGACCCAAACCCUCACCAGAGUAGCAAUUGGAGGGCAAGUCUGGUGCCAGCAGCCGCGGUAAUUCCAGCUCCAAUAGCGUAUAUUAAACUUGUUGCAGUUAAAAAGCUCGUAGUUGUAUUUUUGCGUUGACGGUUUGACCAUUUGGUUGGUUAUUUCGUUUUCGCUUUUGGGAAUUUCCCUUUUUACUUUGAGAAAAUUAGAGUGUUUCAAGCAGACUUUUGUCUUGAAUACUUCAGCAUGGAAUAAUAGAGUAGGACUUUGGUUCUAUUUUGUUGGUUAUUGAACCUUAGUAAUGGUUAAUAGGAACGGUUGGGGGCAUUCGUAUUNNAA
rnacentral:rRNA from 1 species